ACCCGCACAAGCGGUGGAUGAUGUGGAUUAAUUCGAUGCAACGCGAAAAACCUUACCUACCCUUGACAUGUCCGGAAUCCUGCAGAGAUGCGGGAGUGCCCGAAAGGGAAUCGGAACACAGGUGCUGCAUGGCUGUCGUCAGCUCGUGUCGUGAGAUGUUGGGUUAAGUCCCGCAACGAGCGCAACCCUUAUCAUUAGUUGCUACGCAAGGGCACUCUAAUGAGACUGCCGGUGACAAACCGGAGGAAGGUGGGGAUGACGUCAAGUCCUCAUGGCCCUUAUGGGUAGGGCUUCACACGUCAUACAAUGGUCGGUACAGAGGGUUGCCAAGCCGCGAGGUGGAGCCAAUCCCAGAAAGCCGAUCGUAGUCCGGAUCGUAGUCUGCAACUCGACUACGUGAAGUCGGAAUCGCUAGUAAUCGCGUAUCAGCCAUGACGCGGUGAAUACGUUCCCGGGCCUU
rnacentral:rRNA from 1 species